CAGAGCAAAGGUAUCUCCCAGCCUCCCUUCCAAUUAGAUGUGAUUACAUAAUGACCAAUGUCAUGGAAGAGACAACAUUUUUAGGAAGAAGUUCUUAAAAGUCACCGGCGUGCCCUACUCUUGUCUCUUUCCUGCUGUCUGUUGGCUAUAAGGCAGGUGUAAUGCAGGCACUGGAGAGCGUCCUUGGACCGUGUCAUGAAGCUGUGCAUUGAGGAUGUUGAGUGACAGGAUAGAAGGAACCCAACAUAUUCUCUAGCUCAGGGCUUUAUCGUCUCUCACCCAGCAUGGAGAGGUAGUUAAGGUGCUGGACAGCCAAAAAUUAAAUGAUGUCUACUACAGGCAGUGGCAUGAUCAUUUCAAAUGAACCAUCCUGUAUCCAGUAUGGAGAAGAGCUUGGAAGGAGGGGUGAGGAACACUGCUUUCAGAUCAUCAUCAUAGAGAGAAGCCUGGAUUCCUUGUCAGGAGGUCACAGGAGCCCCAGUUCUGCCAACGACUUGAUAUGUGGCGUCAGGCAAGAUAAUCAAACUCUGGCUGAAAGUCCGCAGCUGUGACAUAAAGGGACUGGACCAGAGGACUUUUAAUAAUCCUCCCAGCUGCAAAUUCCGAUCCAGCAAAUAAAUUACAUCAGUAAUUUGGGUGCGGUUGCCAUCUGGUGGCUAUCUUGAGAACUUCACUUGCCGAUUGUGCACCAGUUUUCUAACAAAAUGCUUACUUCUCAUCACCAGCAAGAACUUCCUCAUUCAAGAAAUGGCCUUCCUUUCUGAGUCUUCCCAAGUCCAUGGGCUUUAUGACUCCGCUUGGAUGGAAAGCCCCUCCUUUUCCACUCAGAUUCCCACCCAGCCAUGGGGAUUCUUACAUAUUUAAAGCCACCUCUAAGAGAAACCAGGGGGACAAAAAAGCUCAUGCUUGCAUGUUCUCAUGCCCCCCGUAAUUCAAGGUAGGGAGGAUUCAGUUCUAAAUUAAUUUAUUCAAAGCAUAAAUGCCUUAACCUCUCUGAGCUUUCAUGAGGAAAUAGUUGCAUUUUUUCAAAUGUGUUCAGCAGCAAGGCAAUUCUUUCUUUUUAAUAAAAUAUGUUUGACAUAAGACAUUAUGUAAAUUUAAGGUGUGCAAAACGUUUAUUUGAUACUUAAUUGAAACGUUAAUUGUAUAUGGCAAUAUGAUUGCUGUUGUAGCGUAUUUAGCACCUCUAUCACAGUACAUAAAAUAUCCUGUCUUUUUGGUGAUUGGAAUAAUUCAAUUUUAGUCUCUUAGCAAGUUGGAUGAUUGUGGUACAAUAUUGUUAUCUACAUUGAAGUAGGGCAGUUCUUAAUUUAAA